UACGGAGGGGGCUUGCGUUGUUCGGAAUUACUGGGCGUAAAGCGCGCGUAGGCGGACCUGCAAGUCGGGGGUGAAAGCCCGAGGCUUAACCUCGGAACUGCCUUCGAUACUGCGGGUCUCGAGUCCGGGAGAGGUGAGUGGAAUUCCUAGUGUAGAGGUGAAAUUCGUAGAUAUUAGGAAGAACACCAGUGGCGAAGGCGGCUCACUGGCCCGGUACUGACGCUGAGGCGCGAAAGCGUGGGGAGCAAACAGG
rnacentral:rRNA from 1 species